CAAGGGCAGAGCAAGGAGCUGCAGCUUGGGAAGGGAGCAGCAAGGAAAGGGAGGCACAACUGCUCAUGACAGAAGAUGCUGGGAGUGGGUGCCAAGAAGGGAUAUGGAUGUGACUCCCUCAAGGAGCUGAGCCAAGCCUGGAAUGAGGGACAAGGAGACUCCAGCACUGAAACCCCAGAGCCUUAAAUACACACAAGGAGGGUUAAAGAUUAGACCCAGCAGGAAAAGAGGCUCCAUUUCCAGCUUGAAAAUCAACCCAAAAAUCACGAUGACAGAAAAACACCAACCAGCCCUGAGCAACUCUCCUCUUGUCUCCAGAAAUUUGGGACCAUGAUUGAUUUAAGGAUGAGUGGAAAUGAACAGCCAGGGGUGGUUUGGCCUUUCC